ACGGCGGGGUAACGGCCCACCGUGGCUUACGGUUAGCUGGUCUGAGAGGACGACCAGCCGCACUGGGACUGAGACACUGCCCAGACUCCUACGGGAGGCUGCAGUCGAGGAUCAUUCGCAAUGGGCGGAAGCCUGACGAUGCGACGCUGCGUGGAGGAUGACGGCCCUCGGGUUGUAAACUCCUGUCACGGGGGGCGAGGCGGAGGCGGUGAACAGCCGCCCGAGUUGACGGUACCCCGAGAGGAAGCCACGGCUAACCCUGUGCCAGCAGCCGCGGUAAUACAGAGGUGGCGAGCGUUGUUCGGAUUUACUGGGCGUAAAGGGCGCGUAGGCGGCCGGUCGUGUCGGGUGUGAAAUCCAUGGGCCCAACCCAUGAAGUGCGCCCGAAACUGCCCGGCUGGAGUGCGGGAGGGGAGAUCGGAAUGCAUGGUGUAGCGGUGAAAUGCGUUGAUAUCAUGCAGAACACCGGUGGCGAAGGCGGAUCUCUGGAACGCUACUGACGCUGAGGCGCGAAAGCAGGGGGAGCAAACAGGAUUAGAUACCCUGGUAGUCCCUGCCCUAAACGGUGCACGCUUGGGGUGGGGGGAUUUCACCCCCCCCGUCCCGGAGCU
rnacentral:rRNA from 1 species